AGAAUCAACGCUGGCGGCGUGCCUAACACAUGCAAGUCGAACGAGAAAGUGGUAGCAAUACCAUGAGUACAGUGGCGCACGGGUGAGUAACACGUGACUAACCUACCCUGGAGUGGGGGAUAACUGAGGGAAACCUUAGCUAAUACCGCAUAAUACCUACGGGUCAAAGGAGCAAUUCGCUUCAGGAGGGGGUCGCGGCCGAUUAGUUAGUUGGCGGGGUAAUGGCCCACCAAGACAGUGAUCGGUAUCCGGCCUGAGAGGGCGCACGGACACACUGGAACUGAAACACGGUCCAGACUCCUACGGGAGGCAGCAGUGGGGAAUUUUGCGCAAUGGGGGGAAACCCUGACGCAGCAACGCCGCGUGGAGGAUGAAGUCCUUCGGGACGUAAACUCCUUUCGAUCGGGACGAUAAUGACGGUACCGGAAGAAGAAGCCCCGGCUAACUUCGUGCCAGCAGCCGC
rnacentral:rRNA from 1 species